rnacentral:rRNA from 1 species
GGCUCAACCCGGGAAGUGCAUUUGAAACUGUCAGGCUUGAGUAGGGGAGAGGGAAGUGGAAUUCCAGGUGUAGAGGUGAAAUCSGUAGAUUUCUGGAGGAACACCAGUGGCGAAGGCGGCCACCUGGCCGGCAACUGACGCUGAGGUGCGAAAGCGUGGGGAUCAAACAGGAUUAGAUACCCUGGUAGUCCACGCUGUAAACGAUGGAUGCUAGGUGUCGGGAGUUUACUCUCGGUGCCGCAGUUAACGCGUUAAGCAUCCCGCCUGGGGAGUACGGUSGCAAGGMUGAAACUCAAAGGAAUAGACGGGGGCCCGCACAAGCGGUGGAGUAUCUGGUUUAAUUCGAUGCAACGCGAAGAACCUUACCUGGGUUUGACAUCCCGCGAAUCUCCAGGA